rnacentral:rRNA from 1 species
UGGGGAAUAUUGCACAAUGGGGGGAACCCUGAUGCAGCGACGCCGCGUGAGUGAAGAAGUAUUUCGGUAUGUAAAGCUCUGUCAGCAGGGAAGAAAAAGACGGUACCUGACCAAGAAGCCCCGGCUAACUACGUGCCAGCAGCCGCGGUAAUACGUAGGGGGCAAGCGUUAUCCGGAUUUACUGGGUGUAAAGGGAGCGCAGACGGCCGCGCAAGUCCGGAGUGAAAGCCCGGGGCCCAACCCCGGGACUGCUCUGGAAACUGCGCGGCUGGAGUGCCGGAGAGGUAAGCGGAAUUCCUAGUGUAGCGGUGAAAUGCGUAGAUAUUAGGAGGAACACCAGUGGCGAAGGCGGCUUACUGGACGGCGACUGACGUUGAGGCUCGAAAGCGUGGGGAGCAAACAGG